UACGGAGGGAGCUAGCGUUGUUCGGAAUUACUGGGCGUAAAGCGCACGUAGGCGGCUUUGUAAGUUAGAGGUGAAAGCCCUCAGCUCAACUGAGGAAGUGCGCCCGAAACUGCAGAGCUUGAGUACCGGAGAGGAUGGUGGAAUUCCCCAAGUAGAGGUGAAAUUCGUAGAUAUGGGGAGGAACACCGGUGGCGAAGGCGACCAUCUGGACGGAUACUGACGCUGAGACGCGAAAGCGUGGGUAGCAAACAGG
rnacentral:rRNA from 1 species